UUGUGGGACAAAAAGGCAACUGAAACAGUUGUAUCCAUACUGGACAAAAAUGGAAGGUGUUUUUUAAGGUUGCCAGAUUUUCAGAGUCUCAAGCCCUACGUUUGGCUUACUGGAGAGACCAUAGCUUUUUACAUAAGAACUAUGAAGAAGGAGAUGGACCCGAACAACCAAAUACUACAGUUGGACUAUUAUUUGACUGCAGCAAUUAUGCAGAGGAACAAUGACUGCCUUCAAACGCAUCUGAUGAGAACUGUAAGUAUGUAGAUGCGUAAUUGUAAUGAUUGAUUAGGCAACUAUAUUUACUUGGAACUGUAUUUGUACAGCAAUUGGAUCGUUAUGGUGCCGCAAUUGGCUUCAUACACCAUGAGGAAAAUCACUGGAUUCUUCUGUAUAUACAUAAGGACUCUCAGUCAGUUUUUUUGCUGGAUCCAAUGGCUAAGAACGAGUUGACAAGAUCAGAGGAAGCUGCAAAAUGUUUCAGGUAAGAGACACUCAUUUCAAACAAAGCAAAACAAUUUUUUUUCUUAUUAAUAUUUUCAUAUUUCUAGAAAUUUCUUGGACGUGCGUAAACACAAAGAUAAGAAAUGGGCAGAAGUGGAAUGGAAGCCACAAACUAUUGAUCACACUGUUCAAAAAGACACACACAGCUGUGGAGUUUUUGUUAUGGAGAUGGCCAAGCAGCUCAUAAACUUCUACCCUCGCUUACCAUCUCACAUUGUAGUUGAUGAGAGAGUUGAUCAGCUCAGAAGGACAACGGCAUCCGAAAUUAUAUCUG